rnacentral:rRNA from 1 species
GAUGAACGCUGGCGGCGUGCUUAACACAUGCAAGUCGAACGGUGAAGGCGGAGCUUGCUCUGCUGGAUCAGUGGCGAACGGGUGAGUAACACGUGAGCAAUCUGCCCCUGACUCUGGGAUAAGCGCUGGAAACGGCGUCUAAUACUGGAUACGAGCUGCGAAGGCAUCUUCAGCAGCUGGAAAGAAUUUCGGUCAGGGAUGAGCUCGCGGCCUAUCAGCUUGUUGGUGAGGUAAUGGCUCACCAAGGCGUCGACGGGUAGCCGGCCUGAGAGGGUGACCGGCCACACUGGGACUGAGACACGGCCCAGACUCCUACGGGAGGCAGCAGUGGGGAAUAUUGCACAAUGGGCGAAAGCCUGAUGAUGCAACGCCGCGUGAGGGACGACGGCCUUCGGGUUGUAAACCUCUUUUAGCAGGGAAGAAGCGAAAGUGACGGUACCUGCAGAAAAAGCGCCGGCUAACUACGUG